UACGUAGGGUGCAAGCGUUGUCCGGAAUUAUUGGGCGUAAAGAGCUCGUAGGUGGUCUGUUGCGUCGGCUGUGAAAACCCGGGGCUCAACUCCGGGCCUGCAGCCGAUACGGGCAGACUAGAGUUCGGCAGGGGAGACUGGAAUUCCUGGUGUAGCGGUGAAAUGCGCAGAUAUCAGGAGGAACACCGGUGGCGAAGGCGGAUCUCUGGGCCGAUACUGACGCUGAGGAGCGAAAGCGUGGGGAGCGAACAGG
rnacentral:rRNA from 1 species